UGGGUGAUUUUGUUGUUGAUUUAGAGAGGAGGAAGGUGUUGGGUUGGGGAUCGAGAAAGAGAUUUUUGGGAGGUUUUUUUUAGCUUGGGCAGCAAGCUAGGGAGGGGGUUUUUCACAGAGGAGAGAGGAGAGAAAUUUGAAAGAGCAUGAAGGGGAAAGCUUGAGAGGAUCAACUAAGCAAGGGAUUGGGUUUGUUGAGAUUUUGAUGAAUACUAAGAGAAUGAAGCAGAACAUCUGGAUACAUAGCUAGUCUCGCUGGAGGGGAGCCUUUCAGGUGUCUAAGUUAUAUCUUUGGGUCCUAUUUCCACUAAUUUUCCCACCUAUACACGAGCCUAUUGACUUCAACAUGAGAUAGGGCUUGGAUCAGUGAUUUCUUUAGUUCAUUUGAUGCUCUGUUUUCUUUUAUGCUUGCUCCCUUGCUAUUCACUCUCCGUUCCCAUGACUAUUUGUACCCCCGAGGAGAAGAGCUUAGCCGUUUUGAUCAUGAUGGACACUGAAGGGAGUGAGAUUCACAUGGAGAAAACUUGGUGGUGCUUCGUCGAUAAAAGCAGAGGAUGAUGAGAAAUGGAUUUUUAGCGUCCGAGCUUUCGAUUCACCUCCUCCAGAAUGCACUGUCAACAUCAACUAUGAUGGUUUCGCCGAAGAUGUGAAAGUUGGUGAUGAAUUCCUUGUGAAUGGUGGAAUUGUGAGGUUUGAUAUGAUUGAGAAGAUUGAUCCAGAUGUUAAGUGUCGGUGUACUCAUCCUGAACAAUGAUCUUAGUGUGGUUCGAAAUGAUUCCCUGCUUCUGCUCACAAGGAACUGCCUUCACAAGAAGCUCUUCAACUCCGUGUCUCCUGCCUACUGGAAAGAAUCUCCAGCAAAGUGACUAAAGUGGUCUUAUUGAGAUAUUAGGGUGCUUUGGUCAUUUGGGAAGAAUAAAUGAACUAGUUAAGGGCAUCAUGACAGCAAUUAAACACGGUGUUAAUCCCAUCCCUGUCCACAGUGGCCUUGGAGGUGCUUACUAUUUCAGAAAUACCAUAAUGAGGUCUGCCACAUUGGACACAGGGCUUUCUGAACAGGUUGCGUUUAUUCAAUCUAUGAGAAAUGAGAAGGCAAAUAGUUAUUGGGAAGCAGAGCUACCUCCUAUCAUGAAAAUAUCUCCACCGCAACUUGUAUGAUCAGGCAAAAGAGAUGAGAUCAAAGGAACCAUGGUUCGAAGCACACUCAAAUCAGCAAUUCUGUAAAUAUCUUUUCUACCUUGGGAAUAUCCGUACAAUUCAAUUGGAGUAUUUCCGUAAGUGAACCUAUGUUCUAGUUGAUCGGUUUGAAAAUGUUGACCAUGGGACUGCAUGGAGUCUAUAUUCAGCCAACAGUAAUGACAGAACCUUCCAUCUAAGCUCUCGACCUUUUCCAGCCAUGGCGCGAACACUUCCGUUUUCAAUGAUCUUAAGAUUCAGACUCACACUUUCAAAGCAUUCAAUCCUUGGAUUGCUCUUCCUGGAACUACUUCGCGCUCACUCCCACGCUCACCUCCUUCAGUCAUCGGAGUUGUUUCCAGUGCUAGGUGGCAUCCUAGGUUCCGUUUCUACAGCAUCCUCUGGUAGGGGACUGAUUCAUUUUGCUCCACUCUAAUAAAGCUUUGAACCGCCAUCUGUCGCCUCUCAAGGGCAUUAUAAUCGAGGCCAUUGUCCCCUUUCUCAUGACACUCAAGAAUCUCUCAAGACCAUGUAGGAUACCUCGGAUAUGCGCCUAAACUUGUGGCUGCAGUAGCGUAUGAAGGAAGACGGGAAACAACAGCCACUAAAGCAUCCUUAAAGAAGAAAGAGAGUGGGAAAUUGUCUGUUCUUUUGGGAUUUGAAACCUUGUGAUGAUGAAACAGCCAUGAAGAAGCUGGAAGAGGCUGCUCACAGUGUCGAAAUGCCAGGUCUCUUGUGGGAGCAUUCAACAUCAACCCACAAUCACAUCUCUAUCAGGUCUUGCUGUCGUUUUCUCAUUCCUAUGCCCGCAUGGCAUGCAUGGCAUGCAUGGCCAUCCUCAUCUUUCUACAUUCUUCAUACCCCAACACUCAACACCACACCCAUCUUCUCACACCUCAUACCCAACUGAAUUUGCCACUCACAUCCCCAAUCACCAUGCCCACUAAUCACUCUUUAUGCCUAUGCGACACGGGCCACAUUCGGAGAUAGAAAUUUCUCACCGGAAAAUCCAUCCAGCUUUAAAUUGGUGAUAUCUGUGGGUUUGAAUUCCUAUCCGAAAGCUUCAAGUCAUUUGAGUUUAAUGCAGCCGAGCCCAAUGUUGUCAUUACCGGGCAAUUCCAUACGCCAAGAAGGAGUCCAACUUACAAAGUCACUGUUACGGUUAUUUUGUGGUUAUCUCUCGAUGCACCACCCAAGAGCACGUGGCCCUUUGGAAUCUGAUAGUGUUCGUGUUCAUGAUAGUGAAGUAGAUGGGGGCUUGGCUCAAGGCGAUGUCUAUCAAAAGAACGGUGUUCCACUCCUGAUUCAGGCCGGGCAUGAUGCAUUGUAGUGAGAAUGGGUUUAUAUUUGCUGGGAGAUUCAGAAAAUCUCUUAGGUUUGAAUAGGCUUUCAAAGCAGAAGAUAAGGCUUGGGAUGGAAGCAUAUGUCUUAAAAAAGGGGAAUAAUGAAGAGUAUGGAUUUUUUUUAACCCAUGCCCCACGGGUAUUAUGCGCUAUGGCUGAUCAAAACCAUGCCAAUACCCUGAUGAAUGGACAUCUGACCUACUUGUUUGCCUCAUUGCUUCAGGUUCUAUUUGAUGCACCAUCUAGACCCACUGAGUCACAUAACCAGUAGAAAGCGCCUUCCACCAUUGAUCAUCCCAGACUCGAACAAUGUCCUUGAAAAUAACAGUGGUUUCGGACACAUAAGCAGAGCUCCACAAUGCCAUUGUUUAAUCAAGUGACUAUUCAAGCAUCCAAUCUGACUGCAGGGCCACCUUUGCUGGCCACUUGUGACAUGCAA